GAAUGAUGCAUGGAAAAGCCGCGGGAGGUCAUCUUUUUCAGAUUGUUUAUAGAAAAUAACCCAGUCCCCAGGGAACAGGGUUGACUUGCUCCAAGUCACAGAGGAUGCUGGGACAGAACAGGGCCUAAGAUCCCAGGCCCUGCCUGCUUUUGUCACCUGUGCCUGUGUUCCUCCCUCAGCACACCUCAGGCAUGUACCUUUGACCUGUCUGCUGGGUAUCGGGCUGCUGUCAUUUGAUAUUAAUCUGGUGUCCCCAUGGUGAUCAAUGCUAACCCUUUCCUGUAAAGAGAGGCAUGGUAUGAUUCAGGUGAACUUCCAGUAGAUAGGCUACACAGGUGCUCCCUCUCUAGGGACCAUUCAGACGACAGUGCAGGUGGUGUGCUAAUUGUUUUAAGUAGCUGAUAGUAGUUAGGCCUCAUAACUCAUGGAGGCAGUUAUUGGUAUUCCUAACGUACAGAUCAGAGACAUAAAACAAACUGCCUAGCGUCACACAGGAGACAGGUGGCAGGGUAAGUUUGAUCCACUAUUCAUAUUCUUCAGCCAUUAUGCUGUCUGCUAUUGCAAACUAAGGAAGAUACUGACCCAGAAAGGAAGCAGCAAAGCGCACCAAGAAAGACUAUCACCUGUUCGCCCUGAACCUGUUAACCAAACACAGUGAGUGACCAUUUAUAAACAAGAAAAGAAAGGCAUUCGUUUGUACUUUGUGAGAUCCGGCUGCACCUGGAGAGAAAGACACCCCUUUCCCGGGAAUUUACAAGGCAAAGUGCAUUCCUUCACGGGAGCAUCACAGGGGAGGGGAUGGCAGUUUUUUGAAACGCGAGAAAUCGGUCGCCUGCAACGUCAGGCUGAAGCUCACCUUGUAUGAAGGAUGGCGCCAUGGAGUGGAGUUAAAGUUAUACUUGCUUAGCAAAUGCAUUCCUGAUUGCCACAAACCCAGUAAAACUGGCUGCAGAUGAACGGACACAUAGAUGAAGGAGAAGGGAAACCAAAGAAUGCAGCUGAGGGGAGCCAGGGCUCAGCCUGCCGGGAAGGAGAACAGACCCGAGCCAGAAAAAAAAAGUGAAAUUAACUCGUUCAACACAUUUAUUGAGCUGUUAACAAUAACCAAACACAAUGUAUGACCUUUGGAAAACAAGAAACAGCAAAUGGAUCAGUUCUGAUCUUGGCAAAUCCUACUACAGAUAUGUGACAAAGAGGGGAAAUAAUUCCAUUUCUUUAUAGUCUGCAGUGAUAUAUAUAUAUAUAUACAGUGUGUAGCUCUUCAGUGUCUGUCCUUUUUUAAAUUUCUUUUUUUUUUUUUAAAUCGUUGAGUAAACAGAAGAAUCGUUAUCUAGAAAUAAAGUGUCCUUGCUCA